rnacentral:rRNA from 1 species
AUUGAACGCUGGCGGCAUGCCUUACACAUGCAAGUCGAAACGGCAGCGCGUCCUUCGGGAUGGCGGCGAGUGGCGAACGGGUGAGUAAUACAUCGGAACGUGCCCGAGAGUGGGGGAUAACGCAGCGAAAGCUGUGCUAAUACCGCAUACGAUCUCAGGAUGAAAGCAGGGGACCGCAAGGCCUUGCGCUCACGGAGCGGCCGAUGGCAGAUUAGGUAGUUGGUGGGAUAAAAGCUUACCAAGCCGACGAUCUGUAGCUGGUCUGAGAGGACGACCAGCCACACUGGGACUGAGACACGGCCCAGACUCCUACGGGAGGCAGCAGUGGGGAAUUUUGGACAAUGGGGGAACCCUGAUCCAGCCAUGCCGCGUGCAGGAUGAAGGCCUUCGGGUUGUAAACUGCUUUUGUACGGAACGAAAGGUCUUUUCUAAUAAAGAAGGCUGAUGACGGUACCGUAAGAAUAAGCAACCGGCUAACUACGUAGCCAGCAGCCGAC